GGGAUUGAGACACGGCCCCAGAUUCCUACGGGAGGCAGCAGUGGGGAAUAUUGCACAAUGGGCGAAAGCCUGAUGCAGCGACGCCGCGUGAGGGAUGACGGCCUUUCGGGUUGUAAACCUCUUUCGACAGGGACGAAGCGCAAGUGACGGUACCUGUAGAAGAAGCACCGGCCAACUACGUGCCAGCAGCCGCGGUAAUACGUAGGGUGCGAGCGUUGUCCGGAAUUACUGGGCGUAAAGAGCUUGUAGGCGGUCUGUCGCGUCGAUUGUGAAAACUCACAGCUCAACUGUGAGCCUGCAGUCGAUACGGGCAGACUAGAGUACUUCAGGGGAGACUGGAAUUCCUGGUGUAGCGGUGAAAUGCGCAGAUAUCAGGAGGAACACCGGUGGCGAAGGCGGGUCUCUGGGAAGUAACUGACGCUGAGAAGCGAAAGCGUGGGUAGCGAACAGGAUUAGAUACCCUGGUAGUCCACGCCGUAAACGGUGGGUACUAGGUGUGGGUUUCCUUCCACGGGAUCCGUGCCGUAGCUAACGCAUUAAGUACCCCGCCUGGGGAGUACGGCCGCAAGGCUAAAACUCAAAGGAAUUGACGGGGGCCCGCACAAGCGGCGGAGCAUGUGGAUUAAUUCGAUGCAACGCGAAGAACCUUACCUGGGUUUGACAUACACCGGAAAGCCGUAGAGAUACGGCCCCCCUUGUGGUCGGUGUACAGGUGGUGCAUGGCUGUCGUCAGCUCGUGUCGUGAGAUGUUGGGUUAAGUCCCGCAACGAGCGCAACCCUUAUCUUAUGUUGCCAGCGCGUAAUGGCGGGGACUCGUGAGAGACUGCCGGGGUCAACUCGGAGGAAGGUGGGGACGACGUCAAGUCAUCAUGCCCCUUAUGUCCAGGGCUUCACACAUGCUACAAUGGCCGGUACAGAGGGCUGCGAUACCGUGAGGUGGAGCGAAUCCCUUAAAGCCGGUCUCAGUUCGGAUCGGGGUCUGCAACUCGACCCCGUGAAGUUGGAGUCGCUAGUAAUCGCAGAUCAGCAACGCUGCGGUGAAUACGUUCCCGGGCCUUGUACACACCGCCCGUCACGUCAUGAAAGUCGGUAACACCCGAAGCCGGUGGCCUAACCCCUU
rnacentral:rRNA from 1 species